rnacentral:lncRNA from 1 species
CACAGUCCACAGCGCCCUACUGAAAUGUGGAUAUUAUGCUGUUUGGGUGUCAGUUCCUGGGACAAUUCUGAAUAUAAUGACCUUUCCUGGUCCUGAGAGCAGAUGCCUCGUUAAGACUAAAUAAUACUGUUGAUCAGAGGCUAACACAUUAUCAGUCACUAGGGAUUCCCAGGUUGUGAAGAGCAACAUCAUCAAGAGACAUAACUAUGGACCUUCCAGGUAGGAACCCAGUCAUCUGCCUGGAUCACCCUGGGCCGGUGACUCUCCCUCAGGAUGCACAGAGCAAGCUGCAGAAUUUCAUGAAAGGGGAGCCAGUUAUUCUUGGGGUCUCCCUUUCAUCUGAUCAUCAUCUUCCUCUAAACCUAUGGGGC